UACCAGCACCCCGAGUGGUCGGGACGAUUAUUGGGCCUAAAGCAUCCGUAGCCGGUUUUACAAGUCCUCCGUUAAAUCCAACUGCUUAACAGGUGGGCCGCGGAGGAUACUAUAAGACUAGGAGGCAGGAGAGGCAAGCGGUACUCAGUGGGUAGGGGUAAAAUCCGUUGAUCCAUUGAAGAACACCAGUGGCGAAGGCGACUUACUGGACACAUAUUGACGCUGAGGUGCGAAAGCGUGGGGAGCAAACAGG
rnacentral:rRNA from 1 species